AUACCUAGAUCCAGAAAGUAGAAAUAAUUGACACUCAUAGCCAGUCUCGUGGCCAUGGGUAAAGUCCUCAGUUUUUCACUUGUAUAAAGUUCAUGAAGGGUUAAGAGUGUCAUAACAGAGACCAGCAACUAAGUGAGAAUAUGAUUCUUCUAUGCACAUCUGGCUGACAUGAUUGUCGUGCUCACACAUGAACAGGGCCUAGGAAUGAGGUGGUAUUGCUCCAUAUGCCUGAGACCCUAACAAAAGCCUAAUUACAACUCAUAUGCCUGGAGCCAGGACAUGUGCAGGAUGGUGAUGUAACUUUCCUCUCUGGAAUGGGUCCUGCACAAAGGAAUGAUAGUAACAUAUUGCAAAGCCAGACACACAGCCAUGAUGGUCCAAGUUAUAUUGGGAUUCAGCCAAUAGAAGAUAUUUUGCCUGUCAUCCCUAAGCUUAGGACAAUAGACUCUGCCAAGAGAGGGGAUUAUUACAUAUUGCAGAGCCCAGCACCUAGGUGGAGUGACUCUCAUCUUUUUCUUCUACCCCGUAUAUAGCCAGCUUGGUGACCUACUAUUUGAGUCUAUACCCAGGCCCAGACCACAGAUGAAAUUGUGCAAUAUGUGGAACAAACACCUAAACAAUAUAUAACACCUUCCUUGGCUCUGUCUACAAAGGGCACUUUUAUAUAUCACUGGGACCAUCAACCAGGUGAUGUUAAUUAUCUUCCUGAAACCUGUCUACAAAGAGAGUUGUGUCGUAUACCUAGGCCCGUCAUGUAAGUGAUGUCAGUCCCUUCUACUGCCUUGGCCCUGCACUUACAGUGCAUUGUGACACAUAACAAGGUACUGCACACAGACGAUGUGAUUCUCCUUUUUGGGUUCUGCCAAAAGGAAGCAUUGUAAUAAAUCGCUUGGCUCAGUACCAAGGUGAUGUUUCUUUGCUUUUGCCUGGGCCCUGAUAACAGGGAGAUUGUGAUCUAUUGCUGGGCCCAACAAAAAUGUGAGGUCACUCUCCAGCCGUGGUACUUCACAUAAGCGCCAUUGUGACAUGUAUCUAGGCCAAUUGCCUAGGUGAAGUGAGUUUCCUCUCUUGCCAAAGUCCUGCCCACAGAGGGGGUUUUGAUAUGUCACUGAAAUCAGCAUUCAGGUGAUGUGACUCUUCUGCCAGGGUCCUGCGUACUAGGUGGAUUGUGACAUCUCACUGGACCCGCAACCAUGUAGGUCAUGUGACUUUCAUGCCUUCUCACUGGCCACAGGUGAUGUUGUGCCAUAUAACUGAGACCGUAUCAAAAGCCUAAUAACAAGACGUAUGUCUGGAGCCCCGAUAUGCACAGGAUGGUGAUAUAACCCUCUUCUCUGGAAUGGGCCCCACACAAAGGAAGGAUAGUGACAUAUUGCAAGCCCAGGCACACAGGCCCAGAGCACAGUUGAAAUUGUGACAUAUGUACACCAAGCAACCAAGCAAUGUAUAACACCUCAUUUGGCAAUGGAAUCGAGGGCACUUUUACAUAUCACUGAGACCAGCGCCCAGCUGAUGUGAAAUAUUGGCCUGAACCCUGCCUACAAAAGCAUUGUGGCUUUUAUCUAGCUCCAUUACAUAAGUGAUGUGACUUCCUUCUACUGCCUUGGCCCUGCACUUAUGGUGAAUCGUGACACAAAAUUGGGUAGAGCAACCAGCCUGGGCCCUGACCAGCACAGAGAUUGAGGCAUAUUGCUGAACCCAGGACCAAGAUGAAGUCACUCUCCUGCCUUGAUCCUGCACACAGGGACCCUUGUGACAUAUAUACAGGCCAAUUGCCUAGGUAAAGUUUGUCUCCUCUCCUGCCUAAGCCCUGCCCAUGGGGAGGAUUUAGAUAUAUCACUGAAACCAGCA
ensembl:lncRNA LINC00293 long intergenic non-protein coding RNA 293